GGGAGGAGGUGGAGAAUAUAAUAUAAAGCUUUGUUAAUUGCUGCUGGUGUUUCCCUUCUCCUCCGUCUCCAUCUCCAUCUCCAUCCAUCUCUGCAAUCUCAAAGCAUUACACACAGAUUCCGCAAAGAGAGGAAUCAAAAAAAUUGCAACAGUCUGCAGCAAAGUUCCUCUUUCCCUGAAAAAUUUCCAUAGCCAAAAGACGCAGACAGGAAGGAAACCACCUCGGAAAAGUCUCUAUUAGAGUUUUUCUGGUCGCAUCAACGGUGACUCUAUCAUUAAAAAAACUGCAAUACUUCCUCUUAUGGAGAAGAACCACGAUGUUUGAUCUAUCGAGUCAUGACUUUGCAGACUGUUUCGGAGAUUAAAUUCUUUUAUUAAUCUCCACACAUCACGAUAAAGUGCGAUGAUGAGAGGA